GGAGAACGGGCAAUGCUUGUUUUGCUCCACCUGAAAAGUCUCCUAAACCGUCCAGCGCAUCUGGUACUGGUGUUCGCCGCAUUGAGUUGCCCUCCUUUCUUAAAUCCAAUCAUGGGCCUUUCCACCUAGCAUUUCACCGUAAUUGCGCCGGCUCCCCAAAUGGUGAUUAUUCACAUCCUGACUUGACUUGCCCGUCCAUUGGCGCCAACCACUCUCAUGUCGCUCUUAUAAGUAGACCUGAAGACCGACACCUAAACCAGUCAGCGUGCGAGAGUCAGGUUAUUGCACCAGUCGAAUUAGCCAGAGAGGAUAGGGAGAAAAAAGAAAAUGAUGACUACGAGGAGAAGUCGAAGCAGGGGUUUAGACUGCAAUGGAAUAUAACCUCCAAGCAGAGUUGUGUUAAAUGCAAAAUUAGUGGAGGCGAAUGCGGGGAACCGGAUGGAAGUUUUCUGUGCUUCUGUUCUGAUAAAGCUUAUCCGCGUACUUGCAAAAGAGGUAAUAUUUUUCGAUUAAUUCCCUGCACUAGCAACCGUUUAAAAUCUCCCAUGUGUUUUUUCGGUGAAUGUCCUCGCCAUGCUCUCCAACCUUGAUAAGGACUUCAAAGGAAGAGGAAGAACUUUUUGGCUUCCCUUAGUUUUCUAUUCUCAGUUUUUUCUCUACCUUGGCUUCGUUCACCAGGCCAUUAAUUUAUAUCUCUUUUGGACAAUCCUUUUGUAGUUUUAAUAGUUAGAUGAAUUCAUAGUAAUUUCAUUUGCUUCCUCGCAAUAGUCACUUCUGUGAAUGUCAACCCAGCAUUAAUCAUGUGCACAGCUCAGUAAAUGGCGAAUUUUUAAGAGUGUCACUGUUUGCAUUAGCCAGUUCAACACAUAAGCAGGGAGGGAAUGUGAAGUGAAAAGCUUUAUGCACGUGUGUUUGCUCAUGUUAUGUUCUGCAUCAGCUUAAAGUUGUGGUUAACACCGUUGCUUAAGAAACUCCAUUAAGCUUAGUUCUGCAGCUCCAUAAGAUAUGUAACAUUAGGGCAUAUUUAUUUGCUCCUAAGAUGUAUUGUGUUAAGUGAUAUUCAGUUGAUCAGAAGGAAUUAUGUCAGAUCAAGGAAGCCAUAAGAGAUUUAUUAAUCGUAUAUGCAUGUAAUCAUAUCAUGAUACGUCAUUCAUAAUAAGCCAGGUUUCCUUAGACUUCCAGAGGGAAGACUUUAACCAGAACCUCCAUCAACAACUUCUGAGCUAGAUAUACAUAAAAAUCAUUAUGAAAGGUUCUCUUAAAAUUCCAACCUAGACCAGUUGCUGAACUGAACUGAAUUGUUAUGGUUGAUAAUUAUGUCCUUUUUUCCUUUGGCCAAAGUGAUAUGUCUCUAUUGUUUGUUUGUUUGUUUGCUUGCUUGUGGAUCGUAUCACAUUUGAUGCUGAACUUUAUGAAAACUUUGCCAAUAUACACUCCUGUGGAAUCACUGGACUUUGGUGCAUAAGUUGAAACUUAUGAUUUUGUGUGAUGACCAUACGAUUUUUUAUAUAUCACAUGGUCAAAUUAUAAUAUCCGAGAGAGAAUUUACUAGUGAGAAUAUUAUAAUGACAAGACCAUUUAGAAGGCAUAUAUGCCUUGACCUCAAUUUACCUCUCUCUGUUUCAUUUAUCUUCUCCGAAUGUCCUGUAAUUUCUUAGAAACAGCUAAAAGAAAGCGUACUGACAUCAUGAGAGAAUAGUAGAAUUCGAAUUGAACCUUUCAAUUAAAAUGUAAAUGAAAAUGCCGAUGUGAUUAUAAUUUUGCCAUUAAAUCUAGAUUUUGUCAUUACGCGGGGCUCUUUUAAAAACUUUUUGACAGAUAGAAAACAGAAUUAACAUUUCUAAAAACACAGUAUGACAAAAAUUAAAAAGGGAAAGUGAAAGAGUGGACUGGCGGCUGAUGGUGGUCAUUGAAUAGCAGUGCAAUAGCGUUAAUGUUGCUACCUGGGCGACGCUGCCAUCGCUGACUACACUUGAGAGAACAUUCAUGGAGAAAACAUAAAUUGUUACAAAUAAACAGAUAUACAAACUCAGAGGGUGGCGAGCUCCCACCGCUUACGCUUUGGUGUGGCCAUGACUAUUGUUUUCCAUUCUCUAGGUGAUGGUCGCCAGGAUCGUGCAACCUUUGCCUGGUUUGUCUCACCAGGGAUUGCGCACCUUGGAGAUCAAUCUUUUGGGGUUCACGGCUGUUCAUCUUUAUCUGUCUCUCUCUCCAUUAGGGCUUGAGGUUUUGUUUUUUCUUAAUAUUUUAACCCAAUCGACACAAAAGAAAAUUCAUGAUACCACAAAAGAAAAUGUGGCAGUCUCCGACAGCAUUUCAUAUGCAUAUUAACAUAUGAAAAUGUUGUCAGAUAUUUCUAUGGCCAGAAAAAAAAGUUUUAAGGAUCAUUAUUGCUUAUUUUCUGAAAAUACAGGGAUGAUGGCUGCCUUCGUUCCAAUAGAGAAAGGAAACAUCAUAUAAUAAAAUUCUAAACGACAUGAGAGACGAAAAUCAAGAUUUUAUCUGUUCAGAGUCCUUGGGCUGUGACUUUUGUGAUGGCUCCGUAAUUGCUAUCAGGGUCUCUGUGCCAAUAUCCUUCUGUAUAUCGUCCUGUAAUUCUUGGAAUCUGUACCGAUAAUGUGAUGGAAUAGUAAACCUCUUCACUCGUUUAUCUUCUACCUAAUCGGAACCAAAAAUGACAAGAUAAGACUUCACUUUUUAAGUAAAUCGCCAGCCAUGAACUCAAGUCAUAGCACUCGACCUUCAAAGGGAUCAAGGGUCCAAGACGAAUCUCAGUGAAAUCUUUGUGGCUCUGAGGCCACGUUUGCUCCUUCGGGUCCUCCACGCCCGGUUGACCCAGUCAAUUGACGUGUUUUAGUGAAAAAAAUGAUUCAACAACAAAUUCAUAAAAUGCGAUGUUCUGUUUGAGCCACUGAUGCCCCUUGUGUCUCUGCUACAUACAUGCCCCAAAAGCUCUCCUGUUUCUGACUGUUCGUGCGCUUCUAUUGUUCCCUCUAAAAUUCCUCAAACGGGUGUCGAGUGCUCCAUAAGUUCCAAGGUUUUGCUUCGCCUUGUCAUUAGCAUUUUGACGAUUAUUUUUCUGGAAGACUCUGUUGCAUCAGUGAGCUUGAAAUAUUCCUGCGAGCCUGCAAAGUGCGGUGACCUUGUGAAAGGUCAUCCCUUCUGGAACAACACUAACCCAUGUUGUCCUGAUGAGCCGCUGUUACUAGAACCUUUCUGGGAGGACCUUGGCAAUUAUGAUCAUCAAUCUCAUGCGUUGGUCUCAGAGUUCGCAAAAAUGGGCAAUGCCUGUUUUGCUCCACCUAAACAUUCUUCUAGAUGGCCCAGGGCAUUUGAUCCUGAUGAGCAUUCGUACCUAGCAUUUCUCCGUAAUUGCAGCAGCUUCCCAAAUGUUGAUUCUCCAUAUCCUUACUCAACUUGCCCCUCUCCUAGCGCCAACCGCUCUUAUGUCGCUCUUAUGGAUAGACCAGAACACCCACGUCUUAAUCUGUCAGCGUGCGAGAGUCCCGUUACUCUACCUGUUAAAUUAGCCAGAACGGAUGGGGAGAAUGUAGAAAAUGUUGACUACGAGGAGAAGUGGAAGCACGGGAUUAGACUGAAAUGGAUUUAACCUCCUGGGAGAGUUGUGCUAAUUGCCAAAAAGUUGGAGGCAAAUGCAGGGGACACAAUGCAAGUUUUCUGUGCAGAGAUAACACUUUCCGAUUAAUUACCUGUAAUAGCGAUAGCUUAAAUUCUACCAUGUGUUUUUCAGUGAAUUUCCUCGCCAUGCUUUCCAAACUUGAUAAGGACUUCAAAGGAAGAGGAAGAACCUUUUGGCUUCCCUUGGUUUUCUAUUCUCAGUUCCCUUUUCCGACAUCUCGAUCUACUCGUGUCAUUGAAGAAAUUUGGUAUGACAAGAACCCAUUCAAAGCGGUGGAUGAAGCAUCACUCAAUGUCGAAUGCCCCUUGCCCAGUCUUAAUUACUCUUUUGACCGCUUACUUGUUACUUUUGGUCCGAGUCAGGCUGAUCUCUGCAUCUUCCACAACUGCAACGAGUCAUUUUCUAUCAAUUCUACAAUAUCUGGGGCUGAGCGUGGUCCUGGUAGAGGGAACAAUUCUUUUGCCGCGAUAGCUAGUAAGUGCGAUUACUUGAACUGGAAUAGAGCAUCGUGCCAAUACUUGGUGGCCGCCCCGGUAUGAAACCGGAAGGUGAAUCAAAGUGUUGAGUACUUGAAGUUAUUGGAAAACAGUUUCACACUGAACUGGAUGGGAUACGACUGCAUGAGAUGCCGAAGAAGUGGGGCGGUGCGGCUGUGAAAAUAGUAGGAGUGUGUGCUAUCGCCCCGAUUGAACACAUCUCGAACACUCUGGCGAUGGUAAGGUGCCGCAAACUAUUCUUAGGCUUUCACAUUGACCUCCUUAACUAUUCUUAGUCAGGAAUUAGUGUUUAUGGGACUUUUCUGUUUCGACCUCCUUAACAUUGACCUCCUUCACUACCAGUUGUCACCUGCCGUGUCUCUCCGCCUUUGACUGUCACGAUCUCAAGUUCUCAUAGUACUCGAACUUCAAAGAGAUCAAGGGUGGAGGACGAGUCUCGGUAAAAAUCGUCGUGGUCCUGGGGGUUUGAAAUGGAAAGCUUCGAAACCCCGUCAAAGUUGGAAACUUUGUAAGGAAAUAAAGGUGCCCACGGAAACAAAGGGGGCCAUGGGCCCGUGGCCGAUGGGGUGAAAUCGAUCGCGAUCGCGAGUCCCGAAAUGGACCUUUUUUAGGCGAAGUAUCGACAGUCGUAAUCGAUUUUUCCUCUCAUUGAGCAAGUAUGUGGUCCCCUACGUUUGCUCUUUCGGGUCCUCUACGCUCAGUUGACCCAGUCAAUUGGCGCGUUAACGUGAAAAAGGAUUCAACGAGACAUUCAUAUAAAUGCGGACUUCAGUUUGAGCAACCGUGUCUCACUCGAGCCCCUUCUGUCUCUGCUGUACGCGCCCCAUAGCUUUCCUCUUUCCGACUGUUCUUGUGCUUCUAUUGUUCCCUCUAAAAUUUCUGAAAUGAGUGUGGAGAGCUCCAUAGGUUCCAAGGUUUUGCUUCGUCAUGUCAUCAGCAUUUUGACGAUUAUUUCUUUGGAAGGCUGGGUUCCAGUAGUGAGCUUGACAUAUGGAUCCUGCGAGUCCGACGAGUGCGGUAAGGUCAUGAUCGGUUAUCCUUUCGGGAACGACUCUCAACCAUGUUGUCCUCAAGACCGACUGUUGAAACUAAAUUCUCUCUGGAAGGACCCUAUUUUUUAUGAUGAUCAAUCUCUUGGGUUGAUCUCAGAGUCUGGGAGAACGGGCAAUGCUUGUUUUGCUCCACCUGAAAAGUCUCCCCAACCGCCCAGCACAACUGAUGCUGAUGUUCCCGGCAGUGAAGUGCUCUCCUUUCUUAAAUCCAAUCACGGGCGUUUCCACCUAGCAUUUCUCCGUAAUUGCAACGGCUCCCCAAAUGGUGAUUAUUCACAUCCUGACUUGACUUGCCUUUCUGCCGGGGCCAACCACUCUUAUGUCACUCUUGGAGGUAGACCAGAC
rnacentral:lncRNA from 1 species